UAGUCCACGCUGUAAACGAUGAGUGCUAGAUAUCGGGAGAAUUUCUUUCGGUUUCGUAGCUAACGCAUUAAGCACUCCGCCUGGGGAGUACGAUCGCAAGAUUAAAACUCAAAGGAAUUGACGGGGGCUCGCACAAGUGGUGGAGCAUGCGAUUUAAUUCGAUGCUACGCGAAAAACCUUACCAACCCUUGACAUGGUGAUCGUAGGUUACAGAGAUGUAACCGUCAGUUAGGCUGGAUCGCACACAGGUGUUGCAUGGCUGUCGUCAGCUCGUGUCGUGAGAUGUUGGGUUAAGUCCCGCAACGAGCGCAACCCUCAUCCUUAUUUGCCAGCGGUUCGGCCGGGGACUAUAAGGAAACUGCCGGUGAUAAACCGGAGGAAGGUGGGGAUGAUGUCAAGUCAUCAUGGCCCUUAUGGGUUGGGCUACACGCGUGCUACAAUGGUACUUACAGAGGGAAGCAAGACGGCGACGUGGAGCAAAUCCCUAAAAGUAUCUCAGUUCGGAUUG
rnacentral:rRNA from 1 species